AGGUAGUUUCAUGUUGUUGGGA
rnacentral:miRNA from 1 species